rnacentral:rRNA from 1 species
UGAUCCUGGCUCAGAUUGAACGCUGGCGGCAGGCCUAACACAUGCAAGUCGAACGGUAACAGGAUAGCUUGCUAUCGCUGACGAGUGGCGGACGGGUGAGUAAUACUUAGGGAUCUGCCUCUGUGUGGGGGAUAACUAUUGGAAACGAUAGCUAAUACCGCAUAAUGUCUACGGACCAAAGCGGGCUUCGGCUCGUGCGCAGAGAGGAACCUAAGCGAGAUUAGCUAGUUGGUGAGGUAAAGGCUCACCAAGGCGACGAUCUCUAGCUGUUCUGAGAGGAAGAUCAGCCACACUGGAACUGAGACACGGUCCAGACUCCUACGGGAGGCAGCAGUGGGGAAUAUUGCACAAUGGGGGAAACCCUGAUGCAGCCAUGCCGCGUGUGUGAAGAAGGCCUUCGGGUUGUAAAGCACUUUCAGUUGUGAGGAAAGUUUAGUAGUUAAUACCUGCUAGAUGUGACGUUAGCAACAGAAGAAGCACCGGCUAACUCCGUGCCAGCAGCCGCGGUAAUACGGAGGGUGCGAGCGUUAAUCGGAAUUACUGGGCGUAAAGCGCACGCAGGCGGUCUGUUAAGCUAGAUGUGAAAGCCCCGCGCUCAACGUGGGAGGGUCAUUUAGAACUGGCAGACUAGAGUCUUGGAGAGGGGAGUGGAAUUCCAGGUGUAGCGGUGAAAUGCGUAGAGAUCUGGAGGAACAUCAAUGGCGAAGGCAACUCCCUGGCCAAAGACUGACGCUCAUGUGCGAAAGUGUGGGUAGCGAACAGGAUUAGAUACCCUGGUAGU